rnacentral:rRNA from 1 species
UACGUAGGGUGCGAGCGUUAAUCGGAAUUACUGGGCGUAAAGCGUGCGCAGGCGGCGCGUUAAGACAGGUGUGAAAGCCCCGAGCUUAACUUGGGAAUUGCGCUUGUGACUGGCGUGCUGGAGUGUGGCAGAGGGAGGUGGAAUUCCACGUGUAGCAGUGAAAUGCGUAGAGAUGUGGAGGAACACCAAUGGCGAAGGCAGCUCGCUGGGACGUGACUGACGCUGAGACGCGAAAGCGUGGGGAGCAAACAGG